rnacentral:misc_RNA from 1 species
ACCUCUAUGCAGUAAUGCGUCUUGACGGCUGUCCUCGGACUCUGUCUAAACAUAGCCAGUAAGUCGUGGGUUGCGACCAGCCCGAGUGCUAAGCAUUCUUGGCCUGGCCGUAGCUACGAUCAGCAAGGCAGCAAUGCUACGCUAUACUAUCU